CUCAGCUUGCGCGCCAGCACUCCUCUGUGGAGGCUGACGAGAAAUCAAUGUGUUUCCCUUUUGUUGCUGACUGGAUCUAUAGGCGAGCGACCUCAUUGGGAAGCAUGGCGGAGACUUGGAGGUGGCCCGGGAAAGUGAUGGAAUGACCUUCCAGACAGGGCGGUACUCAAACAGUUCAAACCCGAGCGCUGCAGCAUUGUCACACACCACACUGGUUGCCAUGGAGAAAUAGUCCUCCUGGUCUCCAAGGUACCCAAGUCUAUUGUCUUUGGCUUCUUUAUUUAGAUGAAAACAUGAUUUGUUGGAAGGGAUCUACUUGUUUUUUGCUGCUUUUCUUUCGUCUUCAUCCUCCUCACAAGCAUCAACGCGGCGUCGCAUGAUGCGCAUUGUUUCAUCCCUCUCCUUUCCAGGAGUUUGACUAUGCGCAUGUGUGCGUCAAGCUUGUCUGAUGUUUUGUAGCAAUUAAUUUCAGUGUGUCUGCAUGUCAGCGCCCCAGGAGGGGGGCUGUA